AGGACGAACGCUGGCGGCGUGCUUAACACAUGCAAGUCGAACGGAAAGGCCCUUCGGGGUACUCGAGUGGCGAACGGGUGAGUAACACGUGGGUGAUCUGCCCUGCACUUUGGAAUAAGCCUGGGAAACUGGGUCUAAUACCGAAUAUGACCGCGCACUUCCUGGUGUGUGGUGGAAAGCUUUUGCGGUGUGGGAUGGGCCCGCGGCCUAUCAGCUUGUUGGUGGGGUAAUGGCCUACCAAGGCGACGACGGGUAGCCGGCCUGAGAGGGUGACCGGCCACACUGGGACUGAGAUACGGCCCAGACUCCUACGGGAGGCAGCAGUGGGGAAUAUUGCACAAUGGGCGCAAGCCUGAUGCAGCGACGCCGCGUGAGGGAUGACGGCCUUCGGGUUGUAAACCUCUUUCAAUAGGGACGAAGCGCAAGUGACGGUACCUAUAGAAGAAGGACCGGCCAACUACGUGCCAGCAGCCGCGGUAAUACGUAGGGUCCGAGCGUUGUCCGGAAUUACUGGGCGUAAAGAGCUCGUAGGUGGUUUGUCGCGUUGUUCGUGAAAACUCACAGCUUAACUGUGGGCGUGCGGGCGAUACGGGCAGACUAGAGUACUGCAGGGGA
rnacentral:rRNA from 1 species